UUGGUUUCACCAGUGUUAAGACAUAACUAACUUCUUAGUGAGCUCAAGAGGGAAGACAGUAAACUUGAGUAGUCUAAAAGUCUUUAUCUAUCUCCAAGCAACUUGACAUAAACAACUCCCAUCAAGUCAUUUUCAGGGUAUGAAAGUCUUCCUUGCAAUGAAACUGUCUCCUUCCUUUAUCACAAAUCUUCAGACUCUUUUUCCAUGGACCAUGGUAAAAUACUAAAAGAGUCUUUGUCUUGUUACUUAUUCACUUCUUCAUUCUCUCCACAUAUCUUUAAAUGCCUUCACAUUUGUCUGAAACUGAUAAAGAAAAUGGCAAUAAGGUCAAAGUCUUUCUUCUUUCUUUUGGAGACUUUCCUCAUAAGUGUAGAUCUAUCCCCAUUUCUACUUUGCUUCCGGUAAAUUUCAGUAAAUUUCUUGCACCGGGACUUUGUUUUAGGCCUUAGUCCUACAAAAAGAAAGAGAAAAAAAGAAACUAAUAUAUUAAUAAAAUCUUCUUAAAUAGUUGAAUAUCAUGAUUCUCUUGUCUACAAGUCUAUUCCAAGACUUAGUCAUCAUCCUAACCCACCUAAUUCCAAAGAAAUUUCCCUGUUGAAAUAUACUAUGAGAUAAACAACUAUAAAGAAAAAGAAACCUUACCAUAGUUUUCUUUUCUUUAUAUAAAACCAAGACUUACACAAAAUCAACAAUUCACAAAUUCCUCAUCUGCUUUUUUACUUCCUCUUUUUCUUCUUCAGUUCUUCUUCAUCUUCUUAUUCAUCAUCUCCAAGGCAAUGAAAAAAAAAGAGGAGAUCACCAUGAUCAAUUUGUGUCUGUCUCUAAGAAGAUGUUUUUUGCCAUAUGCAAUCAUAUGGGUGCUCUUUGUGAUCCCCUCUUGUGUUUUGUCAGUUGAUAAGCGUCACUUACACUGCAGUCAUUUGUUUAAAUGCGGCAAUCAGACAGAACUCUAUUAUCCAUUUUGGACAG
rnacentral:lncRNA from 1 species